rnacentral:tRNA from 1 species
GCGCCCGUAGCUCAGCUGGAUAGAGUGCUUCCCUCCGAAGGAAGAAGUCACAGGUUCGAAUCCUGUCGGGCGCACCA